GGCUACAUAGUGUAGUGGUUAGCACAUCUGCUUUUACACGCAGAAGGUCCUGGGUUCACACCCCAGGUGGAGCCA
rfam:Pteropus alecto contig100010, whole genome shotgun sequence.